rnacentral:rRNA from 1 species
UACGUAGGGUGCAAGCGUUGUCCGGAAUUACUGGGCGUAAAGGGCGCGUAGGCGGGAUGGCAAGUCGGUCGUGAAAUCCUUCGGCUCAACCGAAGAACGUCGGCCGAUACUGCCGUUCUUGAGGGAUGCAGAGGAGAUUGGAAUUCCCGGUGUAGCGGUGAAAUGUGUAGAGAUCGGGAGGAACACCGGUGGCGAAGGCGGGUCUCUGGGCAUCUCCUGACGCUGAGGCGCGAAAGCGUGGGGAGCAAACGGG